rnacentral:rRNA from 1 species
GACGAACGCUGGCGGCGUGCCUAAUACAUGCAAGUAGGACGCAGUCGCGAACGGGUGAGUAACGCGUAGGUCACUACCUAUUAGUGGGGGCUAACUACUGGAAACGAUAGCUAAUAACGCAUACUAGUAGAUGGACCUGCGUUGUAUUAGCUAGUAGGUAGGGUAAUGGCCUACCUAGGCAACGAUACAUAGCCGACUUGGUAGGGUUAUCGGGCAAACCGGGAACGAGACCAGGCCCAGACUCCUUCGGGGAGCAGCAGUAGGGGAAUUUCGGAAAAGGGGGGAAACCUGAACGAGCAAAGCCGGGUGAGAGAAGAAGGUUUUCGGAUCGUAAAGCUCUGUUGUUAAGGAAGCGGUACUUAACCAGAAAGGGACGGCUAACUACGUGCCAGCAGCCGCGGUAAUUC